rnacentral:rRNA from 1 species
UACGAGGGGGGCAAGCGUUGUUCGGAAUUAUUGGGCGUAAAGGGCGCGUAGGCGGUGCGGUAAGUCACCUGUGAAAUCUCCUGGCUCAACUGGGAGCUUGCAGGCGAAACUGCCGUGCUGGAGUGUGGGAGAGGUGCGUGGAAUUCCCGGUGUAGCGGUGAAAUGCGUAGAUAUUCGCAAGAACACCAGUGGCGAAGGCGGCUCACUGGCCCGGUACUGACGCUGAGGUGCGAAAGCGUGGGGAGCAAACAGG